rnacentral:rRNA from 1 species
GACGAACGCUGGCGGCGUGCUUAACACAUGCAAGUCGAACGGGCCUUGUCCCCUUUUUUUUUGGGGGUGGGGUUAGUGGCUAACGGGUGAGUAACACGUGAGUAACCUGCCCCUCACUUCUGGAUAACCGCUUGAAAGGGUGGCUAAUACGGGGUGUUCUGGCCUGCUCGCAUGGGUGGGUUUGGAAAGAUUCGACCGGUUUUGGUUGUUUUGGUGGGUGAUGGUCUUGCGGCCUGUCAGCUUGUUGGUGGGGUGAUGGCCUGCAAAGGCUUUGACGGGUAGGCGGCCUGAGAGGGUGGGCGGUCACAGUGGGACUGAGACACGGCCAAGACUCCUACGGGGGGCAGCAGUGGGGAAUAUUGCACAAGGGGCGCAAGCCUGAUGCAGCGACGCCGCGUGAGGGAUGGAGGCCUUCGGGUUGUGAACCUCUUUCGCCAGUGAAGAAGGACCUGCUCUUUGUGGUGGGGUUGACGGUAGCUGGGUUAAUGAAGCGCCGGCUAACUACGUG